rnacentral:rRNA from 1 species
GACAUAGGUGGCGAACGUUAUCCGGAUUUAUUGGGGCGUAAAGGAUGCGUAGAUGGUGGAAUAAGUUGUUGGUCAAAAUCGAGCUCAACUUGAUGGAAGCUGAUAAUACUGUUCUGCUUGAGGACAGGAGAGGUUAGCGGAACUCUAUGCGUAGGGGUGAAAUCCAUUGAUCUAUAGAGGACCACCAAAAAAAGGCGAAGGCAGCUAACUAUUCUGCUCCUGACAUUGAGGCAUGAAAGCGUGGGGAGCAAAACAGG